CAUCAUUAGUAUUAGAGGCACUGCCUGCCCAGUGACACUAGUUUAACGGCCGCGGUAUCCUGACCGUGCAAAGGUAGCAUAAUCAUUUGUUCCUUAAUUAGGGACUUGUAUGAACGGCCCCACGAGGGUUUAACUGUCUCUUACUUUCAAUCAGUGAAAUUGACCUUCCCGUGAAGAGGCGGGAAUAUAAAAAUAAGACGAGAAGACCCUAUGGAGCUUAAAUUAAUAUGCUCAACAAAAUUUAAACUUAGCCCAACAGGAAUAAUUAUAAUUUAACUGAGCAAUAAAUUUUGGUUGGGGUGACCUCGGAGUAUAACAAAACCUCCGAGUGAUUAUAACCAAGACUUACCCGUCAAGGUUACAUAACUUAUUGAUCCAAUCACAUUGAUCAACGAAACAAGUUACCCUAGGGAUAACAGCGCAAUCCUAUUUAAGAGUUCAUAUCGACAAUAGGGUUUACGACCUCGAUGUUGGAUCAGGACACCCAAAUGGUGCAGCAGCUAUUAAAGGUUCG
rnacentral:rRNA from 1 species